AUGUAAUGUAAUUCCUACAACGUUAAUAUACCAGAUCCCAUUAUAAAUUUGAAAUUAAGUGUUCUUGGGAUAUAGUAGUACUGGGAUGGGUGACCUCCCGGGAAGUCCUAGCAUUUUACAUG
rfam:Picea glauca, whole genome shotgun sequence.